rnacentral:lncRNA from 1 species
AAAUCAAUCAUAUAUGAAAUAAAACCCACAACUCAGAGCACAUGAUUUCCGGGCGUCAAAGAAAUCCCAACAGGAUAAACCCCGUGUAUUCUUGUUUUCACAGUCGACAUCUUUUGGCAGGACCAUCCCUGAGAUUAACUUCCUUGCUACUUAUACCAGAUUUCUUUAUAGCGCCUGACUCAUUCGUAUCAACAAUGAACUGGAGCCCCCCUUGAGUGAGUUCUCCUCAUACGUCACUGCUGAAUGGUGUCAUUAAGCCAAACGGGGCCUCUCUUGAACCUCACACAACCCCAAGUAAGGACUUCUUGAAUCCCCAAAAGUUGUUGGUACCUUACGCGGACAUUUUCUGGUUCAAAUUCUGUAGCUACCAAUACCUUCUGAAGAUCUCUUUCCCAGUCUUAAGACCUAACGGUCUCUUUCAGGGAAAACAGAGGGCAAGAAAAUAGAAAGAGGGAACAGAGUAUGGAAGAAAA